GCCUUCGUGGUGUAGUGGUCAGCACGCUCGGCACGUAUUCGAGAGGUCAGUAGUUCGAGUCCUGGCAAGGGCA
rfam:Stegodyphus mimosarum contig76141, whole genome shotgun sequence.